rnacentral:lncRNA from 1 species
GGUGUUGAUUUAAUUUAGUGGGUAUUGUGCUAUGCUCUAUUUUGUUGUUGUUCAUGCAUGAAUUUGGUCUAAUUACCAUGGGGUUAACUUAUGGGUUAAGGUUGCAAACAUCAACUCCUUCUUUCGAUCUCCAGUUCAUGCUCGAAAGAGAUUAAUUAGAGUGGGUAAUUAGUUCAAUACUAGAAAUUUAAGUUUGAUGC